GACAGAGGGUGCAAACGUUGUUCGGAAUUACUGGGCGUAAAGCGCGUGUAGGCGGCAGGGCAUGUCGGAUGUGAAAUCCCGUGGCUCAACCACGGAAGUGCACCCGAAACUGCCCAGCUUGAGUCUCGGAGAGGAGGGCGGAAUGCUUGGUGUAGAGGUGAAAUUCGUAGAUAUCAAGCGGAACACCGGUGGCGAAGGCGGCCUUCUGGACGAUGACUGACGCUGAGACGCGAAAGCGUGGGGAGCGAACAGG
rnacentral:rRNA from 1 species